UACAGAGGGGGCAAGCGUUAUUCGGAAUUAUUGGGCGUAAAGGGCGCGUAGGCGGCCUGACAAGUGGAUGGUGAAAUCCCUCGGCUUAACCGAGGAACUGCCAUCUAGACUGUUUGGCUUGAGACCGGGAGAGGUGAGUGGAAUUCCCAGUGUAGCGGUGAAAUGCGUAGAUAUUCGGAAGAACACCAGUGGCGAAGGCGGCUCACUGGCCCGGUACUGACGCUGAGGUGCGAAAGCGUGGGGAGCAAACAGG
rnacentral:rRNA from 1 species